GUGGGGAAUCUUCCGCAAUGGACGAAAGUCUGACGGAGCAACGCCGCGUGAGUGAAGAAGGUUUUCGGAUCGUAAAGCUCUUUCGUUAGGGACGAACGUGCUCUUUGUGAAUAAUGAGGAGUAAUGACGGUACCUAAAUAAGAAGCCACGGCUAACUACGUGCCAGCAGCCGCGGUAAUACGUAGUUGGCAAGCGUUGUCCGGAAUUAUUGGGCGUAAAGCGCGCGCAGGCGGGAUAUCAAGUCUGUCUUAAAAGUGCGAGGCUCAACCUCGUGAGGGGACAGAAACUGGUAUUCUUGAGUGUCGGAGAGGAAAGUGGAAUUCCAAGUGUAGCGGUGAAAUGCGUAGAGAUUUGGAAGAACACCAGUGGCGAAGGCGACUUUCUGGACGAUGUCUGACGCUGAGGCGCGAAAGCUAGGGGAGCGAACGGGAUUAGAUACCCCGGUAGUCC
rnacentral:rRNA from 1 species